rnacentral:lncRNA from 1 species
GAGCAAAUUGUUACGGCACAGAGAAAAUGAUUGGAAAUCGCACAUGCUCCCUACCUGCCUCGUGGCGGCAAGGCAAUUUCCGAGUCCCGCAUGGUUCUUGGUGUAAGGCUGUGCACUCAGUCCAAAUCUACUGGACAGCCACAACACGCGGUUUUGGUAAUCUGGAACUGGGUCGCACGAGGCUCCGGAGCCCUUGGGAUUUCUGUCCUAGUUGAUGAGUACCACGGUUAUCACAUUGUGAGAUACGUGUGAAGGUUGUUGUGGUGGUGGGCGUGGUACAUCUUUCGUACGGCAGUUGGGGUGCUACGACGGAAAACGGUUUAUGUGUAUGGUAGCGGUGUACGACAUGCCAUACAUCUUACCUACUUAAAUAUGGCG